UCAAACAAACUCUUUCAGAAAUCUCCAUAUCUCUUUGAUGGCUCUUCCCCUACAGUAACGAUAUGUUUCUUUAAGGUGAUGUCUCUUCGUCUCUCCUUACGGUUAUACUGUGUUAUUGUAGAUAGUUUAGGGUUUGGAUUCAGUAAAAUGAAAGAAAAAAGAGUUGCGGGUUGUGGUCUUCCAGAUAUGUCGAUGGAUUUAUGGGUUUUUCUAGGAAAAAAUUUUACGUAUAAAAACCCGACCAUAACUCCCCCUUUUUAUUUCCCUUUCCGUUCAAUCUUAUUCUAUUUUGUGGUGAUUUAGCAGAGAAGAAUCGACAAGUAACUACGUAAGGACAUGGCUACUCGAGUUGGAUGAAGUGUUUAAUACUCCGUAAAACACUAGCGAUGAUCAUAUAAGCGGCAAUGAUACAAACUUCAGAUCUCUAAUACCGAUAUCAGGUGCGGAUUAGGUUGGGAGGUUUCCCAGGCCCUGCCAGACAUCUGAGUUGUAAUGUGUUUGUAGAAAGAAGGGAUUUUGGUUAUUGAAUACCUACUGAAUCGAAGAUUGUGGGGGUACUCUUGCAGAACCACGGUGUACAUAACGCAUUCUGAACUACCCAUGAUCCUAACAGGCAUAGAUUUUUGGUUUACUAUCGUGUUGUCGAAGGAACUUAUGCAGGCUCGUAGAAUUUGGAAUGAAGUUGUACUCCUGAAGAUAAUCCUAAGAAGUUGAUGUCAGUUUCGGAUCCUAAAUAUAUGUAUAGUAAUAUACUGCUGACAACUAUGUUAUUCUUGAAGAAAGUUCAUUUGUUUAAAUCAGUUAAUUAAAGAGUAGACUUAGUUGUAUGUGGUGAGAAAAAUGUUGUAAAUAUUUGGUAUCAUUUUCCGUCUGGAUAAUUUCGUUAGAAUAAGAAGCGUGAAACCGUGAAAGUGGGGAUUGCAUGUUCACAACGUUAGAACACCUGUAGCAAGCCUUCGAAGCAAGUUUUUAUUUUUUCAGUCUCCAAA